GAUGAAGAACGUAGUGAAAUGCGAUAAGUAAUGUGAAUUGCAGAAUUCAGUGAAUCAUCGAAUCUUUGAACGCACAUUGCGCCCGCCAGUAUUCUGGCGGGCAUGCCUGUUCGAGCGUCAUUUCAACCAUCAAGCCCCCGGCUUGUGUUGGGGACCUGCGGCUGCCGCAGGCCCUGAAAAGCAGUGGCGGGCUCGCUGUCACACCGAGCGUAGUAGCAUACAUCUCGCUCUGGGCGUGCUGCGGGUUCCGGCCGUUAAACCACCUUCAUAACCCAAGGUUGACCUCGGAUCAGGUAGGUAGACCCGCUGAACUUAAGCAUAUCAAUAAGCGGAGGA
rnacentral:misc_RNA from 1 species